AUUUGUAUGUGUUAGUGUAUAUAAUAAUAUAUAUUUUACAUUGUUAUUAUAUGGUUUAGUUUAUUUAGCUAUUAGUAUUUAGUUUUAUUAUAUACACCACCUCCCAUUAUCCAUUUGUUCGUUUUUCCCUAGCAUUAAGGUUGUCUGGAGAGAUAGCUAUUUAGCGAUAAGACUGCAUUUUUGUACCUACAUUUUAAGUUUUCUUUUUUCU